rnacentral:rRNA from 1 species
GACGAACGCUGGCGGCGUGCCUAAUACAUGCAAGUCGAGCGGACCAAAGGGAGCUUGCUCCUGGAGGUCAGCGGCGAACGGGUGAGUAACACGUGGGCAACCUGCCUGUAAGACUGGGAUAACAUCGAGAAAAUCGGUGCUAAUACCGGAUAAUAAAAAGAACUGCAUGGUUCUUUUUUGAAAGAUGGUUUCGGCUAUCACUUACAGAUGGGCCCGCGGCGCAUUAGCUAGUUGGUGAGGUAACGGCUCACCAAGGCAACGAUGCGUAGCCGACCUGAGAGGGUGAUCGGCCACACUGGGACUGAGACACGGCCCAGACUCCUACGGGAGGCAGCAGUAGGGAAUCUUCCGCAAUGGACGAAAGUCUGACGGAGCAACGCCGCGUGAGUGAUGAAGGCCUUCGGUUGUAAACGUGCUUUUGUACGGAACGAAACGGUUCUCUCUAAUACAGGGGCUAAUGACGGUACCGUAAGAAUAAGCACCGGCUAACUACGUGCCAG